UACGGAGUGAGCAAGCGUUGUCCGGAAUCAUUGGGCGUAAAGGGCGCGUAGGCGGUCUGAUAAGUCAAAUGUGAAAAUCCAGGGCUUAACUCUGGAAGUGCGUUUGAAACUGUGAGACUAGAGUACAGGAGAGGAAAGUGGAAUUCCUGGUGUAGCGGUGAAAUGCGUAGAGAUCAGGAAGAACAUCAAUGGCGAAGGCAGCUUUCUGGCCUGAAACUGACGCUGAGGCGCGAAAGCGUGGGGAGCAAAC
rnacentral:rRNA from 1 species